rnacentral:rRNA from 1 species
AUUGAACGCUGGCGGCAGGCUUAACACAUGCAAGUCGAGCGGGGGGAGGUAGCUUGCUACCUAACCUAGCGGCGGACGGGUGAGUAAUGCUUAGGAAUCUGCCUAUUAGUGGGGGACAACAUUUCGAAAGGGAUGCUAAUACCGCAUACGCCCUAAGGGGGAAAGCAGGGGAUCUUCGGACCUUGCGCUAAUAGAUGAGCCUAAGUCGGAUUAGCUAGUUGGUGGGGUAAAGGCCUACCAAGGCGACGAUCCGUAACUGGUCUGAGAGGAUGAUCCGCCACACUGGGACUGAGACACGGCCCAGACUCCUACGGGAGGCAGCAGUGGGGAAUAUUGGACAAUGGGGGGAACCCUGAUCCAGCCAUGCCGCGUGUGUGAAGAAGGCCUUAUGGUUGUAAAGCACUUUAAGCGAGGAGGAGGCUACUGAGACUAAUACUCUUGGAUAGUGGACGUUACUCGCAGAAUAAGCACCGGCUAACUCUGUGCCAGCAGCCGCUGUAACAC